AGAAAUACACAUGGCCCUAAAAUAACCUCAUUCUGCAUGUGGUCCAAGAGGUGCACACGAAUUUGUUACCGGCAACUGAUCCACUGAUGCAGCGUGGAACACUUCUGCUGGAUCACAGUAUGAAGACUUUUCUUCUUUUGCCAGUAGUGGAAGAUGUGACAAGCCAUCAGCAUUGCCGUGUUGUUUGGUACAUGAGAACUCUACAUCAUAAGAGUGGGCACCUAGGAAAAGUGCCCAACGUUGUAACGAGACCAUACUCACUCAGCCUGGUAAGCACUUUAUCAAGGCUGAUCUUCAUCAUUUUUGCCAGCCACGAUGAUGUCAUCAAGGUAACAUUGUGUUCCUUGGAUAGCUUGGAGCACUCGGUCCAUUGUUGUUUGCCAAAUAGCUGAUGCGACCCUAAAGAAGAGACGAUUAUACUGGAACAGUCUUUUGUGAGUGUUGAUUGUGAGGAACUUUCUGCUUGAAGCUUCAAUCACCAUUUGCAGAUAGGCAUGUGACAAGCAAAUCUUUGGAAACCUCUCCCAGCCUGCCAAAGAAACAAAAAUCUCUUCUAUUCGUGGCAGGGGAUACUGCACAGUAUGCAACUCUGGGUUGAUGCUCAGCUUGAAAUCCCCACAUAUGUGCAUGGCUCCAGACUUCCCUUUCGUGAUCACUGGGAAAAUGGAGCGGCCCAAUAGCUCCACUCAACCUCGGAGAGGAUGCCAGAUACCUCCAAGCUCUGCAGUUCAGCAUCCAUUUUAGGAUGCAGUGUGUAGGCACUGCACACACUUUAUAGAAUCUUGGUAUUGCUGCUUCAUCCAGUUCAAUUCAGGCCUUCAUGCCUUUGAGUUUACUAAUCCUCUUCUCAAACACCUUCUCAUUAUCAUUAAGCAGCUGUGCCCGCCUCUGUUUAAUGCUACCAUUUGGGCUGCCAUUGCCUGUUGAUGUCACACUGACAGCUUUGAUUGAGUGCCAGUCUACUUGGAUUUUUCUUAACCAUUCACAUCUGAAAAGUGCUGGCCCUCCACCUCUCAAUAAACAAAGCUCUAAUUGUUGUGUUUGGCCUCCAUAUGUCACAUUCACUUUCAGUUUGCCUUUGGGAGACACAUUUUCGCCUGUUUAAGUCUUUAGCAUUACUGGGGUCUUCUCUAAUAGUAACUCAGGAAAGAGUCUGUUGUAGUCAGCCUCUGGCUUUACAGACAACACUGGCCCUGUAUCCAGCUCCAUUUUCAGUUUUACACUAGACACAUCUAUGGUGAUAGUUAUUAUAUUGCGAUCUGCUUCAGUAGUACUAUGCAGCUCUAGGCAAGGCAGUUCGUCUUUAGCAGACUCUAUGCUGUCUGAUUCUGUUUUACAUUUGGGAACUUUAUGCAUUUGCUUAGUUUUGUGUUUGAGACUUUUCAUUCGGUUGUGUUUUUUGUCUCUCUUGCACUUUCCCUCUA